rnacentral:rRNA from 1 species
AUUGAACGCUGGCGGCAGGCCUAACACAUGCAAGUCGAGCGAGCGGCGGACGGGUGAGUAAUGUCUGGGAAACUGCCUGAUGGAGGGGGAUAACUACUGGAAAAGGUAGCUAAUACCGCAUAACAUCAGAUGUGCCAAGAUGGGAGUAGCUAGUCGGUGGGGUAACGGCUCACCUAGGCGACGAUCCCUAGCUGGUCUGAUAGGAUGACCAGCCACACUGGAACGGUGACACGGUGCAGACUCCUACGGGAGGCAGCAGUGGGGAAUAUUGCACAAUGGGCGCAAGCCUGAUGCAGCAAUGCCGCGUGUGGGAAGAAGGCCUUCGGGUUGUAAAGCACUUUCAGCGGGGAGGCGUUACCCGCAGAAGAAGCACCGGCUAACGCCGUGCCAGCAGCCGCGGUAAUUC